CCUACGGGUGGCAGCAGUGGGGAAUAUUGGACAAUGGGGGAAACCCUGAUGCAGCGACGCAGCGUGCGUGAUGAAGGCAUUCGUUAUGUAAAGCUCUAUCAGCAGGGAGGAAACUGACGGUACCUGAGUAAGAAGCCACGGAUAACUACGUGCCAGCAGCCGCGGUACUACGUAGGGGGCAAGCGUUAUCCGGAUUUACUGGGUGUAAAGGGAGCGUAGACGGCAGAGCAAGUCUGGAGUGAAAGGCGGGGGUCUAACCCACGGACGGCUCUGGAAACUGGACGGCUGGAGUGCAGAAGAGGCAGGUGGAAUUCCUAGUGUAGCGGUGAAAUGCGUAGAUAUUAGGAGGAACACCAGUGGCGAAGGCGGCUUACUGGACUGUAACUGACGUUGAGGCUCGAAAGCGUGGGGAGCAAACAGGAUUAGAUACCCCGGAAGUC
rnacentral:rRNA from 1 species